AACCUCAUCGACUGGAAGGGAUUCCUUCCAGUAUAUGAGGCUGUUACACCUCAUUGAUCGGAGGGAAUUCCUUCCAAUCAAUGAGGUGUAACAACCUCAUCGACCAGAAGGGAUUCCUUCCGGUCGAUGAGGUA
rnacentral:miRNA from 1 species